AGGACAGCCAGGGCUACAGAGAGAAACACUGUAUGAAAAAACAAAACUAAAACCAAAAGCUCUUAACGCUGUGACCAAAGAUAGAUGUUCUCCACAGAACAAAACAGGCACUUGAUAGUGCUGUGUUUUUCUGAGAAGAUACAUGC
rnacentral:snoRNA from 1 species